rnacentral:miRNA from 1 species
UGGGGGCACUGGGACGUAUGG